GAAAAUGCUGCUACCAGUCUGUUAACCAGGAGGAAGAAAAUACAGAUCUAAGAGGAGAGGGAGAGAUUCAGGGAGGAGCUAAGCUGUUACUGAACUAUAGAAGAGAGAGGAACUUCCAUAUUCAGCAGAGUUCAAUACACAAACCAGAAACAUUACCUUUAUUCAACAUGCUGUCACUGCACACAACUUUCUCUACUAUUACUCUACUGUACAUCAUAACAGGUGUCAGCUGUGAAGAACUCACUCCAGUCAAGGAUGAAGAGUCCAGUUUAGAAGACAGCACUGUUACUCUGUCCUACACAUACUCUAAACUGAAAACUAAUGAUUAUUUCUUCUGGUAUCGACAAUAUCCAGGAAAACCACCAGAGUUCCUCAUCUCUCACUCUGCUUCAGGAAAUGUAGUAAAUGAACAAAUCCCUGGACUGAAGAUUGAAGUGGAGCAAAACCAAAUAGAAAUGAACAUCUCCUCUGCUGCAGUGACAGACUCUGCUGUGUACUACUGUGCUGUGAAGCCCACAGUGACAGGAAACACCAAAACUCUGUACAAAAACCUGACAGCUCCUCACUGAAGAUUUACACACUCCAGCUUCUGCUUUUACUGAACAACAGCCCCAUCAAGUGGACACUGAUAAUA